UACAGAGGGUGCGAGCGUUGUUCGGAAUUACUGGGCGUAAAGCGCGUGUAGGCGGCGUUAUAAGUCGAAUGUGAAAGCCCUUGGCUUAACCAAGGAAGUGCAUUCGAUACUGUAGUGCUUGAGUGCCGGAGGGGAUGGCGGAAUUCCUGGUGUAGAGGUGAAAUUCGUAGAUAUCAGGAGGAACACCUGUGGCGAAGGCGGCCAUCUGGACGGUGACUGACGCUGAGACGCGAAAGCGUGGGUAGCAAACAGG
rnacentral:rRNA from 1 species